CUUUAUGAACGGUUGCGGGACCCGUUGAUGUCGGGUUGAAGAGGUUAAAGUAGAUAGGAAUGUACGGC
rnacentral:tRNA from 1 species